rnacentral:lncRNA from 1 species
UGGAUGUUCUGUGCUGGCCCAGCCAAGGCAGGACCCUGAGAUUAGCUCAGUUGGUUAAAGCCCGGUGCUGAUAGUACCAAGGCUGUGGGUUUGAUCCCCAUGUGGGCCACUCACUUAAGAGCUGGACUCCAUAAUCCUUGUGGGUCCCUUCCAACUCAGAAUAUUCUGUUAUUCUAUGACGAGUGGGGUUUAUCCCACAGUGUGCAGGAGAAAGCAAAUGCACGCAGACCUCCAGUGGCCCUCCUGAGUACUACACGGCACUGUCGCUGCCACCCCAGGGACGGAGACCUCGCCUGGGGCAUCUCUUCUUGCUCUGCUACUGCAAGUUUUAUAAGGGAAAAACCAAGAGCAGUGCUGAACACAAAAGGGAAGAUCAGAGGAUUUGAGUUCAAGGCUUAGUGUCUAAUUUCAGCAAGUCCAAGUGAGGAUUGAAGCCUGCUGGUUCAGCACUUGGCUACCAGGAGGUCAUUGGAUGCCACUUUGAAACAGGCUCAAUGCUUAACAGUUAUUCUGCUGGGAUGAGGAGGAAUUUCAUCCACCUGUUUUGAGCAUGAGCACCUUGAAAAGUCAGCUGGCCCCUGCCUCCAACAUGAGGUCACUGCCAUAUCUGCAGGCUUCAGGAAACAUCAAUAAAUCACUCUGGCCCUGA